GUGCCAGCAGCCGCGGUAAUACAGAGGUCUCAAGCGUUGUUCGGAUUCAUUGGGCGUAAAGGGUGCGUAGGCUGUGGGGUAAGUCUGGUGUGAAAUCCCGGGGCUCAACCCCGGAACUGCACUGGAUACUGCUUUACUAGAGCACUGGAGAGGGAACUGGAAUUUACGGUGUAGCAGUGAAAUGCGUAGAUAUCGUAAGGAAGACCAGUGGCGAAGGCGAGUUCCUGGACAGUUGCUGACGCUGAGGCACGAAGGCCAGGGGAGCAAACGGGAUUAGAUACCCCUGUAGUCC
rnacentral:rRNA from 1 species